AUCGGCAAGGUUUAUGAUGUCUUCACGGGCCAUGCACAACUUCUCCAUGGGUAGUGCAAGUGCCUCCACGAGCAAAGUUCCUGAAAUCACGGGCCGUAUUGCUCGCAUACUUUCCUUGAAUGAUUUCUCUCUUAUGGUUGUCGCAAGAGCUGGGUUGUGUGGCUUUUUUCGUUGUUCGUAUAAAGUCUACAAUAACAAGUAUUGCUCACUGUCGUCCUCAAUUAUGAUAACUCUGCCACUUCACUUCUCCUUCUCAUCGAU